rnacentral:rRNA from 1 species
GACGAACGCUGGCGGCGUGCCUAAUACAUGCAAGUAGGACGCAGUUGCGAACGGGUGAGUAACGCGUAGGUAACUACCUAUUAGAGGGGGAUAACUAUUGGAAACGAUAGCUAAUACCGCAUACUCGUAGUUGGACCUUCGUUGUAUUAGCUAGUAGGUAGGGUAAGGUCCUACCUAGGCAACGUUCCAUAGCCGACCUGAGAGGGUGAUCGGCCAAACUGGGACUGAGACACGGACCAGACGCCUACGGGAGGCAGCAGUAGGGAAGCUUCGGAAAUGGGGGGAACCCUGACCGAGCAACGCCGCGGGAGUGAAGAAGGUUUUCGGAUCGUAAAGCUCUGUUGUUAAGGAAGCGGUACUUAACCAGAAAGGGACGGCUAACUACGUGCCAGCAGCCGCGGUAAUAC